AUUGAACGCUGGCGGCAUGCCAUACACAUGCAAGUCGGACGGCAGCACGGGAGCAAUCCUGGUGGCGAGUGGCGAACGGGUGAGUAAUAUAUCGGAACGUGCCCAGUCGUGGGGGAUAACGCAGCGAAAGCUGUGCUAAUACCGCAUACGAUCUAAGGAUGAAAGCGGGGGAUCGCAAGACCUCGCGCGAUUGGAGCGGCCGAUAUCAGAUUAGCUAGUUGGUGGGGUAAAGGCCCACCAAGGCGACGAUCUGUAGCUGGUCUGAGAGGACGACCAGCCACACUGGAACUGAGACACGGUCCAGACUCCUACGGGAGGCAGCAGAGGGGAAUUUUGGACAAUGGGCGCAAGCCUGAUCCAGCAAUGCCGCGUGCAGGAUGAAGGCCUUCGGGUUGUAAACUGCUUUUGUACGGAACGAAACGGCCCUUUCUAAUACAGGGGGCUAAUGACGGUACCGUAAGAAUAAGCACCGGCUAACUACGUGCCAGCCGCCGCGGUAA
rnacentral:rRNA from 1 species